AAUUAAAGAGUAGAAUCAAAAGAUAAAAACCUAAAUUCUAGGGAGAAGGGGGAGCUUCUCUCUCUAGAAACCUAAGUAAAGCAUGUAAAAACCUAAACUAAAUUGCUUC